rnacentral:rRNA from 1 species
UACGGGGGGUGCGAGCGUUGUCCGGAAUCACUGGGCGUAAAGGGCGCGUAGGUGGUUUGAUAAGGGUGUGGUGAAAGUCCGGGGCUCAACCCCGGAUCUGCCGUGCCGACUGUCAAACUCGAGGGCUGUAGAGGCAGACGGAAUUCCGGGUGUAGCGGUGGAAUGCGUAGAGAUCCGGAGGAAGACCGGUGGCGAAGGCGGCAUCCUGGACCGACAUUGACGCUGAUGAGCGAAAGCUAGGGGAGCAAACGGG